UUUUGCGAUAUAAAAUUAUACUAAUAUACAGUAUUUUUUAUUAAUUAUGUAUAAGGAAUAUAUGAAUAUCAUAACUAUAAUAAGUAGAAAGAUUUCAAGAAAAUAGAAGUGUGAAACAAGUUAAAACCAUCUUUGAACCAAACUAAAGGAUUUAAAAAUUGAUAAAGAUUGCAAAAAUUGAGAUUCUAAAUUGCCAUCAUUUAUUAUGGCUUCCAUUAUUGCAUACAUAUGAAUAAAUGAGGCUAUCGCUUCUUCAGUGGGGACAGAAAGGCCCACUCUUUCAACAGAAUGGGACCCAUAACCAGAAAUAUAAAUUUUAAUGGAAUCAUCUACAACACAAUCGGACAAGUAUUCGGUAUCGAAGAUUCCUGAGAAACAAGUCACAUCAGUGGGAAGAUCAUGAAGAUCGUUAUUAUUGUCAUCACAAAUUCGAAAUUUAUUUUUGAUUUCAGUAAGAGAAAACGAAUUUGCCGAUUUUGUAAAUAUAUGUUUUAAUCUAAUUUUUUUUUCUGCAUGAAUUAUUUCGUUAUAUGACACAUGAUAAUUACAACCAGAUAAAAGUCUAUAAUUUCCAAAU